GAUGAACGCUGGCGGCGUGCCUAAUACAUGCAAGUCGACCGAACAAACGAGGAGCUUGCUCCUCUGACGUUAGCGGCGGACGGGGGAGUAACACGUGGAUAACCUACCUAUAAACCUGGGAUAACUUCGGGAAACCGGGGCUAAUACCGGAUAAUUUAUUAAACCGCAUGGUUCAAUAUUGAAAGACGGUUUUGCUUUCACUUAUAGAUGGAUCCGCGCCGCAUUAGCUAGUUGGUAAGGUAACGGCUUACCAAGGCAACGAUGCGUAGCCGACCUGAGAGGGUGAUCGGCCACACUGGAACUGAGACACGGUCCAGACUCCUACGGGAGGCAGCAGUAGGGAAUCUUCCGCAAUGGGCGAAAGCUUGAUGGAGCAACGCCGCGUGAGUGAUGAAGGUCUUCGGAUCGUAAAACUCUGUUAUUAGGGAAGAACAAAUGUGUAAGUAACUAUGCACGUCUUGACGGUACCUAAUCAGAAAGCCACGGCUAACUACGUG
rnacentral:rRNA from 1 species